CAGGGAGACCAGAACUGCACACGGUACUCCAGAAGAGGCCUCAGCAAUGUCCCGUACAACCGCAACAUGACAUCCUACCUCAUAUACUCAAAGACUUCUCGGACAGCUGCCACACUUGGUUCUUCAUCAGGCUCCAUGCCACCUCCUGGAACAAUCCAUCUGUCUGGAUACCGACUGCUGCUAACCAACAGAACCUAGAGCAA